GUAACAUUUGUAAAGUCGUGUUAUCCUUUGGCUCGAAGAAGAUGGAGGGACAGGACUUGAAAGUGCAGUAUGUAUUCGUUGCAACUGUAAUGAAAGACAUCAAAUCACCUUGGCGUUGGCAAAUAUUUCUUGUUUACGAUUUGGCUAAUGAGCCGUCCUGGCAACAAAUGAAGCAAUAACUAAAACCAGGAAAGUGACCUGUUUUCCCCAGAAGAAUGACUGGCAUUGCGAAGGUUCCAUCAUUGAUCUUACAUGUUGCACGUGAUAGAGAAAACCUUUAGACUUACAUGUUAAAUAUUUGUCUGUAACGAUUAAAUUGGCACUACGACCCAUAAAAUGGCGUAGCAAUGUUACAACGUACCAGGAAAGCUGACCAGUUCCUCAAACACAGAAGACGUCUCUUUUUUCUUUUUAUUAAAUCACGACUUUCUUUGCCGA